UCUCCGUUGGUGAACCAGCGGAGGGAUCAUUGCUGGAACAAACGCCCUCACGGGUGCUACCCAGAAACCCUUUGUGAACUAUACUUAAUCGUUGUCUCGGCAGAACCUACCCGGUAACUGUUCGGAGAAGCUACCCUGUAGCUGCCCUGUAACGGCCUACCCUGUAACGCACUGCCGGUGGACUUUUAAACUCUUGUUAUUUUAUAGUAAUCUGAGCGUCUUAUUUUAAUAAGUCAAAACUUUCAACAACGGAUCUCUUGGUUCUGGCAUCGAUGAAGAACGCAGC
rnacentral:misc_RNA from 1 species